rnacentral:rRNA from 1 species
AACGAACGCUGGCGGCAUGCCUAAUACAUGCAAGUCGAACGAGAUCUUCGGAUCUAGUGGCGCACGGGUGCGUAACGCGUGGGAAUCUGCCCUUGGGUUCGGAAUAACGUCGGGAAACUGACGCUAAUACCGGAUGAUGACGUAAGUCCAAAGAUUUGUCGCCCAAGGAUGAGCCCGCGUAGGAUUAGCUAGUUGGUGGGGUAAAGGCCCACCAAGGCGACGAUCCUUAGCUGGUCUGAGAGGAUGAUCAGCCACACUGAGACUGAGACACGGACCAGACUCCUACGGGAGGCAGCAAUAGGGAAUAUUGAACAAUGGGGGCAACCCUGAUCCAGCAAUGCCGCGUGAGUGAUGAAGGCCUUAGGGUUGUAAAGCUCUUUUACCCGGGAUGAUAAUGACAGUACCGGGAGAAUAAGCCCCGGCUAACUCCGUGCCAGCCGCCGCAGUAA